AUUGAACGCUGGCGGCAUGCCUUACACAUGCAAGUCGAACGGUAACGGGCCUUCGGGUGCCGACGAGUGGCGAACGGGUGAGUAAUGUAUCGGAACGUACCUUUCAGUGGGGGAUAACGUAGCGAAAGUUACGCUAAUACCGCAUAUUCUGUGAGCAGGAAAGCAGGGGAUCGCAAGACCUUGCGCUGAUUGAGCGGCCGAUAUCAGAUUAGCUAGUUGGUGAGGUAAAGGCUCACCAAGGCGACGAUCUGUAGCGGGUCUGAGAGGAUGAUCCGCCACACUGGAACUGAGACACGGUCCAGACUCCUACGGGAGGCAGCAGUGGGGAAUUUUGGACAAUGGGGGCAACCCUGAUCCAGCCAUGCCGCGUGAGUGAAGAAGGCCUUCGGGUUGUAAAGCUCUUUCGGCCGGGAAGAAAUCGUAUGGGUUAAUACCCUGUGCGGAUGACGGUACCGGCAUAAGAAGCACCGGCUAACUACGUG
rnacentral:rRNA from 1 species